rnacentral:rRNA from 1 species
UACAGAGGGGGCAAGCGUUGUUCGGAAUUACUGGGCGUAAAGGGCGCGUAGGCGGUCAGUGCAAGUCAGUUGUGAAAUCUCCGGGCUUAACUCGGAAAGGUCAACUGAUACUGCUCGACUAGAGUGCGGAAGGGGCAACUGGAAUUCUUGGUGUAGCGGUGAAAUGCGUAGAUAUCAAGAGGAACACCUGCGGCGAAGGCGGGUUGCUGGGCCGACACUGACGCUGAAGUGCGAAAGCGUGGGGAGCAAACAGG